rnacentral:rRNA from 1 species
AUACGGAGGGUGCAAGCGUUGUCCGGAUUUAUUGGGUUUAAAGGGUGCGUAGGUGGCGUGUUAAGUCAGUGGUGAAAGCCUGCAGCUCAACUGUAGAGGUGCCAUUGAUACUGACAUGCUUGAGUAUGGAUGAGGUAGGCGGAAUUUGUGGUGUAGCGGUGAAAUGCAUAGAUACCACAAAGAACACCGAUAGCGAAGGCAGCUUACUGGACCAUAACUGACACUGAGGCACGAAAGUGUGGGUAGCGAACAGGAUUAGAAACCCGGGUAGUCC